UGCCUACGGGGGGCAGCAGUGGGGAAUAUUGGGCAAUGGGCGCAAGCCUGACCCAGCAACGCCGCGUGAAGGAAGAAGGCUUUCGGGUUGUAAACUUCUUUUCUUAGGGACGAAGAAAGUGACGGUACCUAAGGAAUAAGCCACGGCUAACUACGUGCCAGCAGCCGCGGUAAUACGUAGGUGGCAAGCGUUAUCCGGAUUUACUGGGUGCAAAGGGCGUGUAGGCGGGACUGCAAGUCAGAUGUGAAAACCAAGGGCUCCACCUGUGGUCUGCAUUUAAA
rnacentral:rRNA from 1 species